rnacentral:rRNA from 1 species
AUUGAACGCUGGCGGCAUGCUUUACACAUGCAAGUCGGGCGGCAGCGCGGGGGCAACCCUGGCGGCGAGCGGCGAACGGGUGAGUAAUGCAUCGGAACGUAUCCUCGAGUGGGGGAUAACCCAGCGAAAGUUGGGCUAAUACCGCAUGAGCUCUGAGGAGGAAAGCGGGGGACCUGCGAGGGCCUCGCGCUGGAGGAGCGGCUGAUGUCCGAUUAGCUAGUUGGUGGGGUAAAGGCUUACCAAGGCGACGAUCGGUAGCUGGUCUGAGAGGAUGGUCAGCCAGACUGGGACUGAGACACGGCCGAGACUCCUAGGGGGAGAAACAGUGCGGAAUUUUGCACGAUGGAGGCAACCCUGAUCCAGCGAUGCGGGGUAAAGGAUGAAGGCGUUCGGGUGGGAAAACUCUGUCGGUCGGAGCAAAGUGAGCGGGUCUAAUACUCCUGGCUGAUGACGGUACCGUAAGAAGAAGCACCGGCUAACUACGUG